rnacentral:rRNA from 1 species
CCUACGGGUGGCAGCAGUAGGGAAUAUUGCUCAAUGGGCGCAAGUCUGAACCAGCCAUGCCGCGUGCAGGAAGAAGGUGCUAUGCAUUUUAAACUGCUUUUAUACGGAGGUAAUUGCAGAUAUGUAUAGCUUAAUGACAGUACCAUAUGAAUAAGGAUCGGCUAACUCCGUGCCAGCAGCCGCGGUAAUACGGAGGAUCCGAGCGUUAUCCGGAUGUAUUGGGCUUAACGGGUGCGUAGGCGGUCAAGCAAGUUAGAGGUGAAAGCUUGAGGCUUAACAAUGAAACUGCAUUUGAAACUGUCAGACUAGAGUGUAGUAGAGGUAGGUGGAAUGCGUGGUGUAGCGGUAAAAUGCUUAGAGAUCACGAAGAAUACUGAUUGCGAAGGCAGCCUUCUA